CUAUUUAGUUCACAAGAAACAAAAUGCAGAAGAGGUUCACCACUCAGAAGGCAUUGGACAUUAUAAAAUACAAUAUACUGAAUAGAACUAACUAGACAGUUAGUUGGGAGUUAAGCUUUCCCCCUUCCUUUGGUGCGCCAGUAAUGGCCUUAUUUACAGAACAAAAGCGCCUGUUCACACCUGCUUAUAGGAUGCUAGCUAAAAUCCUUCAGGUCAGUCGACCCGUCUCUGGGCUCCAAAGGUAGAAAUGUGAAAUGACCCUUCUCUGGUAAUGCUAAUGUUUUAAAGGGAUAAA